CCGGAGGAGAGUCGUGGGGGCCAAGGAGCACCUUGGCUGUCUGGAGUCUGGCGGGAGUGGGGAAGGAUUGAGGGGCUAGCUCAGGCAGCAGGGGCCGUCAGGCCUGGGAGCCCACGAGGAGAAGGGUGGGCUCCCAGGGAAGCAGGGCAACAUCGGCAGGCAGGGGCGUUGGGCCUGAGCUAGGGCUGGAGAGGAGGGGAGCCAGACAUUCAUCCCGGGAACUUUUGGUUUCAGGACGUGGCGGCUGGUCGGACAAGGGGAAGCUGCUGGGCAGGGCUCGACCCCAAACCUGGGCAGUGGAGGUGUAGCUGGCAGCAGUGGGCAGGUGAGGACCGCCAUCUGCCGGGCAGGUGAGUCCACUUCCCUCCCUGGGCCUCACUGCGCUGGCCUUCUGGAUGAAGGUUGGAGAGCGAGGACCUGCAAGGAGAAGUGGCUGUCCUCCCGGCAGAGCGGCAGGAGGAAGGCAGGAUGGUCAGCACAGGUGACAUCUUCUCGGGGGGAGCCGAGACGGAGAGAGACUGGGGGGCCCAGGGUCCAUUCCAGGUGGAAAGAGCAUUUUGAGUGGGCAGGAUAGAGAAGAGAAGGGCUGCCAGCAAGGACCGAGGCUGCUGCCUCCAGGGAGGUGACAGGUGACCUGGGGGUGGUAGUGGAGUCUGUGGGAAUCCAUCUAGCACUGUGGGAGUAUCCCAGGUCCAGGUCGGGCAGGGCGAGGUGGGGUCACAGGAUACAGAGGGGUCCCCAGCCGCCACCACAUCCCACCCACCGUAAUUCAUCUAGGAGAAGGUACAGAAGCGGCUCUGGCGGGUCUCCAGAGGCCUGUGCCAGAGCCUCGAAGGCCGGAGAGCGGGAAAGAAGGGCAGUGCGCGGGCAGCACAGAAGGACGUCACCUGGGGGGAGCGGUGGUCGCGGGUGGCGGGCUCCGGAGAGAUAUCGCAGCAAGGAGGCUGCAGCCGGCCCAGCCUGCGGAUGCACCGUUCCCACGCGGCACUGCGGCCCAGAGGCUGGCGCGGAGAGGGCCCACAGUGGACUUGGUGACACUGUAUGCCCUAACCGCUCAGCCGCUGGGUCUGGCAUGGCAGACAGGACAGCACCAGGGGAGCCAAGGGCAUGGGCAAGGCCAGACAAGGCGAGACGGGCGGGGUAGAGCGAGUGAGCUCUCUAAGGGGGGAGUCGGGGCAGGCAGGUGAGGGGCCACCAGGCGGCGAGCCAACGAGGCACUGGCCUCCAGAGCCCGUGGCCAAGGCGGGCAUCACGGGCAGCGACGGAGCAGUGAUCGGUGCCUCCAAGCUCAAGACUGGAGACAAGGACAGGUCUCCAGCAGGGGUGCACACGCCAGCCCCCGAAGGCCAGGACGCCAGGCGCAGGGAUGUACUGGAAAGACAUGACAUGGUCCGGUGUGACGGCGAGGACAGAGGGACUGCCGUCCGGCCUUCGUGAACACUCUGGCUGGCACCACGGGGGAGGCUGCCACAGAAGGGUCUGGUCCUUUGCUUUUCCGAAAGAGUCAACACACCGCUGCUGCUCUCUGGACCCCCUAGAACCCUCAAGAUAUAAAGAAAUGGUGCUACCCAGCUCAUGUCUGGGCCUUCAACUCCGGGGACUUCUUCAAGUCCGUCUAGCUCUGGAUCAAGAAUAUGCUGCGUUUGGGAACCACUGCAUACCUGACUCAGGAAUCGGCUCUGGAGGUGGAGCUGAAGGACCAGGCCUGUGGACACCAAGGCAGAACAGACCCGCAGCACCCGCCGCCAGCCAAGCCCCAUCCUCGUGGCCACCCCGCUGCGCCCAGCGGACCAUCGGCACGCCUCCCUCUGCUUUUCUUCUUCCUCCUUCCCUCCAACCUUGUGUUUCUGUCUUUCUUCCUUCCGUCGUUUGAGAGAUUCAAAGCAUCCGUGACUCUGUUUCCCCACCCGUCCCUUCUGAUUUCAAUUUGCACUAAGUCGUUUGCACUGGUUUGGAGCUCGGGAGAGCCUUGAGUCUCUCUGUGCGCCUGUGCGUGAGUGUGCGGGCCUCCUUGGCCACGCCGCCCCAGCGCCUGCCUGCUGUCCACCUCUGCCUGGGGGCGCCUGGGCGCCGGCCGCGUGCUUGAGGCCUCGCCCUCCCCUCACCUUGUCUGGAAGCUCCACAAGAGCGAGCCACCUCAAAGCAUUCCUUACCCUACCUUGCCCAGUGCCCCUCCCCACCAGGGCUCACCAGAGCCCUGGCCUCAUCAAUAAACACAGUUACAGCGA